CGCCCUUUGGCAUUCCGAGGGGCACACCCGUUUGAGUGUCGU
rnacentral:rRNA from 1 species